GGUUGAUCCUGCCAGUAGUCAUAUGCUUGUCUCAAAGAUUAAGCCAUGCAUGUCUAAGUAUAAACAAAUUCAUACUGUGAAACUGCGAAUGGCUCAUUAAAUCAGUUAUAGUUUAUUUGAUGGUAUCUUGCUACAUGGAUAACUGUGGUAAUUCUAGAGCUAAUACAUGCUUAAAAGCCCCGACUUCUGGAAGGGGUGUAUUUAUUAGAUAAAAAACCAAUGGGUUUCGGCCCUUCUUGGUGAUUCAUAAUAACUUCUCGAAUCGCAUGGCCUUGCGCCGGCGAUGCUUCAUU
rnacentral:rRNA from 1 species